UGGAAGUGAGAGAGACAAUGUCACACUUCA
rnacentral:piRNA from 1 species